rnacentral:rRNA from 1 species
CGUGAUACGCUGCGAUAAGCUACGGGGAGGUGCGAAUACCCUUUGAUCCGUAGAUCUCCGAAUGGGGAAACCCACCUAAGGUACUUGGAAAAUCAGAGCAGCAGGGCAACUGACGCGACAAUCCCAAAAGGAUUGAGCGUGGGGCGACGAUCUCUUUGGGAUCGCGCUGUUUUUGCUGCUGUGGUUUCCAAGUAUCGAUAAUAGGUAACUUAUCCUGAAUACAUAGGGAUAAAGUGGCGAACGCGGGGAACUGAAACAUCUAAGUACCCGUAGGAAAGGACAUCAACCGAGACUCCGGAAGUAGUGGCGAGCGAACCCGGACCAGGCCAGCGGCGAUUGAGAGACAAGCGGAACCUUCUGGAAAGUUGGGCCGUAGCGGGUGACAGCCCCGUACGCGUAAUGCGAUCAAUCGUCCUUGAGUAAGGCGGGACACGUGAAAUCCUGUCUGAAAUUGGGAGGACCACCUUCCAAGCCUAAGUACUCGUGCAUGACCGAUAGCGAACUAGUACCGUGAGGGAAAGGUGAAAAGCACCCCGACAAGGGGAGUGAAAGAGUACCUGAAACCGAUUGCCUACAAACAGUGGGAGCCCGUCCUUCAAAUCGCUUGACGAUUUGAAGAACUUUUGAUUUUGCCAUCAAGAGCGCAAGCGCUUUGAUGGGCGGGUGACCACGUACCUUUUGUAUAAUGGGUCAGCGACUUAGUGUGACGAGCAAGC